CACGUAGGGUGCGAGCGUUGUCCGGAAUUAUUGGGCGUAAAGAGCUCGUAGGCGGUGUGUCGCGUCGGCCGUGAAAACUUGCAGCUCAACUGUGGGCGUGCGGUCGAUACGGGCAUCACUGGAGUUCGGCAGGGGAGACUGGAAUUCCUGGUGUAGCGGUGAAAUGCGUAGAUAUCGUAAGGAAGACCAGUGGCGAAGGCGGGUCUCUGGACAGUUCCUGACGCUGAGGCACGAAGGUCAGGGGAGCAAACGGG
rnacentral:rRNA from 1 species